rnacentral:rRNA from 1 species
GACGAACGCUGGCGGCGUGCUUAACACAUGCAAGUCGAACGGUGAAGCGAGUGCUUGCACUCGUGGAUCAGUGGCGAACGGGUGAGUAACACGUGAGUAGCCUGCCCAUCACUCUGGGAUAAGCACUGGAAACGGUGUCUAAUACUGGAUACGACCAACCCUUGCAUGGGGUGUUGGUGGAAAGAUUUAUCGGUGAUGGAUGGACUCGCGGCCUAUCAGCUUGUUGGCGGGGUAAUGGCCCACCAAGGCGACGACGGGUAGCCGGCCUGAGAGGGUGACCGGCCACACUGGGACUGAGACACGGCCCAGACUCCUACGGGAGGCAGCAGUGGGGAAUAUUGCACAAUGGGCGAAAGCCUGAUGCAGCGACGCCGCGUGAGGGAUGACGGCCUUCGGGUUGUAAACCUCUUUCAGCAGGGAAGAAGCGAAAGUGACGGUACCUGCAGAAGAAGCACCGGCUAACUACGUG